rnacentral:rRNA from 1 species
UACAGAGGUCUCAACCGUUGUUCGGAUUCAUUGGGCGUAAAGCGCACGUAGGCGGCUCGUUAAGUCGGGUGUGAAAGCCCUAGGCUCAACCUAGGAAGUGCACUCGAAACUGGCGAGCUUGAAUAUGGAAGAGGGUCGCGGAAUUCCCGGUGUAGAGGUGAAAUUCGUAGAUAUCGGGAGGAACACCGGUGGCGAAGGCGGGUCUCUGGGCAGUAACUGACGCUGAGGAGCGAAAGCGUGGGGAGCGAACAGG